UUUCCGUAGGUGAACCUGCGGAAGGAUCAUUAUUGAAUGAACUUGGUGUGGUUGUUGCUGGCCCCCCCUCAAGGGGGCAUGUGCACGCCCGCCAUCCUCAUCUCUUCACCCUGUGCACCUCUUGUAGGCUUGGAUAGAUUUUUUUUCCGAGGCAACUCGGUCGGGAGGAAUGCUGUGCGCAAGCCGGCUUUCUUUGCAAUUUUUCCAAGUCUAUGUUUUUCAUAUACCCCAUUAGUACGUAACAGAAUGUCAUUGGGCGCUUAGCACCUAUAAAGUUUAUACAACUUUCAGCAACGGAUCUCUUGGCUCUC
rnacentral:misc_RNA from 1 species